GGAAGAUAUCUUCCAACUAAUUGACUUUCCAUAAGAAAGAUGGAGAAAUAAUUUGGACGCAUCAAAUCAAAACGAGAGGGACGAGGGGACAUAGAGAAAGCUAGAAUUAGAUCAAAGAUCAAGAUUUCAAGUAGUAUGUAAAUAUGUGUUAUGGGUAGGUGGGACAGUGGAGGUACCAGUGGUACGAUCUGGAUUUUGUGAUUGGGUUGCCGCCAUGAAUCACAGGAGGAUCUCUUCAAAACUGCCACCAGAAUCUAAGCUAGAGUCACACAACAGUAUCUAUGUAAAUACAUAGAUCUGAUAGUAUAUCUGUGUAUAUAUUUACACCGUUUGGAAAUCUGGAAAAGGGAGAGAAAGAAAAUAAGCUGUGUAAAAUAAAAGUGAAAUUGUGACUUUUUUUGGGUUUUGAGAAGCCAAGGGAAAA
rnacentral:misc_RNA from 1 species